GUUUGGUGCCCGUCCGAUCUGUGGCUGCGGGCGUGUCUCCGGAGCAGAGGAGGCGUGAGAGAAAGAUGUCGGAGAGGCGGCGAGCCAAUGUUUCUUCCGGUGGCCGGUGCCGCGGAGGUUGCCCGGAGACGGAGCCGGCACCGGCGGCAUCCUAUCCUAAAGCUCGAGUGGGGACACUCAUCGUGGCUUGAUCUUACUCCCUGCUCCAUGCUCGGCUCUGGAGGAGGAAGAUGGAGUCGCUGGAGCAGAGCAGUCUGCGUUUCAUAUUUCUUACCGGCAUCCGCUUGCUCUGCCAAUUCUUUAGUUCAGGCAUACAGGUAAAAGAAAAGGAAAACCAUCUGUAAAAUGUAGGACCAUAUAGCAUUUCCACAGUCAUAUAGCAUUGUCAAGAGCAUACAAAUAGACGA